UUUUGGAACAUGGCAAACUACUAUUUUUGAACUUCGCGGGCCCAACUGAAACUUUACAGCAAGCUAAGUUGCAGUACAGCUAGGCGCAUCUUAGGUCUGAGAAUCCCCCACCCUUCCCUUGGCACCGGUCCUGCCAGCUAUCAAGCUCUACAUUCUCUGUGCUUUUGAUGACAUUCAUGACGAUGACAAUAAUAACAAUUUGAAAUGGAAUCAUUGAAAUUGAUAAAUAUGAUAACACAUAAUACUAUUUCAUUAUUACCUUGUGAAUAAUUUUGUGAUCCAAUCAGUGUUACAGCAUGACAGAAAUUCGAGAAGAUGAUUGUGAUAAGUAGUGAAAAUCUCUACUAAUGUAGAACAUUUUCGUAAAUUCUGUAUGUAAUUCGUAAUCACUAGUAAGAUGGCCAGUUUUACUAUGAAUACGUAUUUACUCCAAUUUAAUACUUAAUCUACAAUUUAUUGUAUCCUGAAACUAGGUUCUUAAAUUUUUUAAAAGUUGAGAAUCUUUUACACUCAUCCUCCACCGCGAUAUCACACCAAUUAUUUAUUAUUCGUUCUUCAUCCAUCUACUUUUGUACCAUUACGACAAAUCAUAUUUGAGUCGAUACCUACCAGGCGGAACACUUUCAGGAAACUAGUAUGGUCAACUCAAUAGAGGAAAUUCUACAUCUUAUUGAAAGACUACUUGUUAUUUUAAAAGAAGGAAGAAUGCUGAAAUCAUACAUCUUAACUUUUUGCCUCCAAGAGGUCGAAAUCGACAAUGGCAUCAUCAUAUUGGUUCAGCCUUUCAUCGCUGCUCUUAAGGAUGUAUUACUGCAGAUGUUUGAAGAAUGGGAAAUUUCGUGGAAGAAAGAGUGUUGCCAGAAGAAGAAUAACCAAUUAGCUCCGUUUUCCAACUAUAACUCCAGCCGUAUUUAUACUGAAGAGACAUUGAAGACUGAUAGUUCCUGCAUGCUGAACUCCACAAGACAAACCUUGUAUGAAAAAAUAGGGAACUCCAAUGAUCAAGAUCAAGUCAUGAAAUGUCAGGAACCUACACAACAUGGAUUGCUAGAGAACACAUGCAUGGAAUUUGCUUCAAAUCAACGAUGUCAAGAUCAAAGUAUUUCAGCAACUCCUAAUGCAUCUUACAGUCUUCCAAAUACAUCCUCCAGCAUUCCUAAAAACGAAAAAGCUAUUACUGAGGCUACCCAUUUCCCCGUGUGUUCCGAAUUGAAUACAGAUUCUGAAUCAAGCGCAGGGAGUACUUUUGAUGACAGACCUUCAUCAGGACGUGUUAGCCCAUCGUUUGAAAAUAUAUUUUAUCCUAGAGUUCAUCUUGAAUUAGAGCAUGAAGACUUGUCCCGCACUGCUGAUAAGAACAGUCAAAACACAAGAAUUAGCAACUUUUCAACGAAUGAUGCCUGCUGUCAUAGCACUUAUCUGAAAACUAAAAUUCAGUCAAAUUUCAGAAAUAUCUCUCAAAAUGCUCUUGGACAUGAAAGCUAUAAAAACAUUCAUUAUGCUAAAUUAUACUCUCAAGUUGAUACUGUAUCACACCCCACGGAAGAUAACGAAACUAAUUUAAACUUUUCAAAUAAAGAGAGCCACAUUUUCGAAAAUGCUUCUUUUCCCAGAAUCUAUUCUCAUUCGGAGGCAGAUAAUCUGUCAAUUGUCAAUAGUAUUAAUACGCCCAAGGAAGGCUUUGCCAAUGAAGAUGUAACAUCUCAGACCGAAACACCUUUGAGCAAAGGCGAGAAUAUUUUUCAAAAUGUCGCAAGCCAGUCUAGAUUCAGCCAUGCUGCAGAUGUGAAUAUGAGUAGUUCAGUUUUAAGUGAUUGUAAUAUACCUGAUGUCAGUUCUUUCACAAACGCUCCAUCAGAUACUCUUAACGUUGACGAUCUGUCUCUAUGUGUGGACCAUGAUACCGUGUCGAAAGAGACUAACCAUCUAGGGUCUGUAACUGCUACCGAUGUAAAUGAAACCUACUCAAAUAGACAAACUACUAUUGACUCCUCUGUAUUGAAUAAUUCAUCAUCAAGUUUCCCAUCAUAUUGUUCUUCAACAUUACCAAAAGAAACUCAGUCAUUUGGAUACGCUCAUGUGAAGUUCAAGUCAAAAAAUGUAAGAAACUUAAAGUUCUAA
rnacentral:lncRNA from 1 species